GCGGUCUGGGAGGGUCUCGCGGCCUAUCAGCUAGUUGGUGAGGUAACGGCUCACCAAGGCAUCGACGGGUAGCUGGUCUGAGAGGAUGAUCAGCCACACUGGGACUGAGACACGGCCCAG
rnacentral:rRNA from 1 species